rnacentral:tRNA from 1 species
GGAUUGUGGCUCAGAGGUAGAGCGCUCGCCCCGCACGCAGGAUGCACUGGGUUCAAUCCUCAGCACCA